rnacentral:lncRNA from 1 species
AAACAACAUGACAGUUUCUACAGAAGAAGGUAUUUUUCGUUGUCAUCCUUUGAUCUCGAGAAACAAAUAAAACUGACAGGGGAGAGUCUUCGCUUGCCAUUCCCCUCCCGACGGACGUUUGCCAAAUAACAUUAUCAUUGUUUUAAGGCGCUUGGGCGAGCAUGGUUAAUAAUACAGCCAACCGCUGGCUAUAAGAUGUUGUCAUAUCAUCUAUAGCUAACACAUACGUUCAUUCAUACGAUAAGGCGGAUAGCUAUAAGGUUGGCUAUAGGAUUAGUAUUUUUCCUCAUCUUCUUUCUAUCUUUUUUUUUACAUUUAUUGCAUCUGUCUAGAAACAUGCAUAUAGCUAGACUCUUACAUAAAAGCCCGCUUUCCUUACCUUUUCAUGUCUCACUCCUUUACAUAAACAAAAUUGCAUGUAAGGGGGCUUAUAGCUUACUAUUAUACUUACUCUGAUGA